AUAAUUUUGCAAUCAGCACAUAACACAUCAAAGCAUGUGAAGAAGAGAUAUUAAGUGAAUAGAUAUAUAGAGAGAGGAAAACUGGGAAUAAAAGAACAAUAAUAUCUUUGAAACCAUGACAAACUUAUCACAAGGAACGAGAUAGGAUAACAAUGAAAUGCUUGUCUGCAGAGGAAGGAAGCAAAACCUUGGGUGAACCUUUCCUACACCAUGUCUAAUAUUUUGGUAUAUAUGGUUUUCCCAUUUACACUAACCUAUAUAUAUAUAUAUAUAUAUAUAUAUAUAUAUAUAAACAAUACAAAUUAACUAGCCAUAUCAUUAUUGGCUGGCUAAAGAAUUAGAUCCACAGAUUAUUAAAACUUGGCAAAGAAAUUAAUCAGUAGAAUUUGUAAGAUUAUGCAGGUUUUCAGAGGGAUCUAUAUGAUAUCCUUAGCCAUUUCUGGAUUUGAAAGAAUUCUUGUUAGGAACUUGAGAAACCGUUCUGGUAUCUUGAGACUGCUUUUGAUGCUUUGCAUGUGAACCAGCCCUUCCUUUCCUCUGCUUCCUUCUGGGCUGUGUUGCCUGGGGAAUAAACACACCUGUCCCUUUGCUUUCUGUCCUCAAAGCAUGCUCAUAGAGAAAAGCAAACUGCGGAGGAGGAUAAAUUGCCUCAGAAAAAGCCUGAAAAUUAGUUUGACCAUGUUAAGAUUGUUGUCACAGACAAAGAGAGUUUUUCCCUAUAAUUGGAAGAAGAAGAAGAAGAAGAAGAAGGGUAAAAGAACCUGAAGUGAUUCAGGAGGAGAAGAAUCAAGAUGGUCUUCAUCUUCAUCCAUGAUUAAGAGAGCAAUUUCCUUGCUCAAAUCUGCAAAAAAUAGGUCAUCUUCAAGUUCAACUGCAACCUCCAUGUCCGUUUGAUCUGACUAAUCGGGUAUGAAGGGAAGUACGAGAGUUUGUAAUCUCUCUUUGUUUCUUUUUUUGAUGUAUUUUGGAUGAGUUAAGGAAAAAGAAGUUUAUAUAGGAAAAAAGGAAAGAAAGGGUGAGUUGAGAUAGAAGGGGUGGUCAUGUGGGUUGGUGGGGUCAUGAUCACAGUUGGCCAAUCUGGCAAAGCCCUACAGAAGCCUUGCACAGGCAUCAUGGAAAUUUGUAGUGAUGUUAUCUUAUUUCAUCAGAAAGUUUCAAGGAAAAAGAUAUUCAAUCUUCAAUACACAUGGUUGAGGAUGGGCAUGGUUAUCUCUCUUUCUAAUCUCAUCUCAUCUCAUCUCAUCUCAUCAAACAGUAACUUAUGGCUCAUAUUAUUCAAAGCCUUUCACAUAUGCAUAAGCGACAAAUGAAUAUUUGUUCCAAAGAUUCUUAUCCCUAUAUCCAUCUCAUGUUCAUG
rnacentral:lncRNA from 1 species